CCCUUUCAGCAUUUGCGAGUUGCACACUUUUUGUUCUGAAUUUUGCUCACCUGCACAUGCAAAUACUCCUUUGAUUUGUUACUUCUUGAAAUUGAGAAAUUGACAAGGUUUUCCACAUGGUACACAUGACAUGAAGUUUUUUAGCCUGUCACGUGUCUAAGAAUGUGAACGCCCCUUUAAUAUAGAACUUUGUCUGGUAUAUCUGCUAGCUAUCCCUUUCAGCAUUUGCGAGUUGCACACGUUUGUUCUGAAUUUCGCUCACCUGCACAUGCAAAUACUCUUUGAUUUGUUAUUCUUGAAAUUGAGAAAUUGACAAGAUUUUGCACAUGGUACACAUUGCAUGAAGUUUGGGCUGAAACAUCCCGUCAUGUGUCUAAGAAUGUGAAAUGUCCCUUUAAUGUAGAACUUUGUCUGGUAUGUCUGCUAGCUAGCCCUUUCAGCAUUUGCAUGUUGCACACUUCUGUUCUGAUUUUCGCUCACCUGCACAUGCAAAUACUGUUUGAUUUGUUACUUCUUGAAAUUUAGAAAGUGACAAGGUUUUUCACUUGGUACACAUGUCAUGAAGUUUGGGCUGAUACCGCCCGUCAUGUGUCUAAGAAUGUGAACGUCCCUUUAGUAUAGAACUUUUUCUGGUAUGUCUGCUAGCUAGCCCUCCCUCGUUUUCCUUCUUGAAUGCCUCUCCUCAUCCUAUAAUGGAGACAAGAACACCAACUUGAAUUUUCUUUACCUUAGUUGUCUUUAUUUUCUUCAUCUUAUUUGUAUUCAUGUCUUGCUUGUUGCUCUUUUUGAUAAGGUAAUUAUUUUCAUUAAUGAUUGGAGAAAUCCCAUA